GCCCUCAUCGUCUAUAGAGGUUCAGGACAUCUUUAUUUAAAGAAGAUAACGGGGAUUCGACUUCCCCUGAGGGUA
rnacentral:tRNA from 5 species